rnacentral:lncRNA from 1 species
GGGUAACUUGCCAAGUUGAUAAGUGCCUGAGAAAGAAUUCAAACUCAGGUCUUACUCAUUCCAAGUCUAGCACCCAUUGGCCACCUAGCUGCCUCUUGAUGACAAGCCCCACUUAGGUUUGUGAUUUUCUGGAGCUGUGUCACUUGAUCACCUGCCACCUUUUCGGGAGAUAUUUUCUGGAUGAAUGGAUGAUUAAUCUGUAUUUCUUCUGUACUUCCUCUUUGGAAAUCACUCCAGUGUUGCCCA